rnacentral:rRNA from 4 species
GACGGAGGGUGCUAGCGUUGUUCGGAAUCACUGGGCGUAAAGGGCGCGUAGGCGGCCAGGCAAGUCGGCUUGUGAAAGCCCGGGGCUCAACCCCGGAGGUGCGGCCGGGACUGCUUGGCUGGAGGCCGGAAGAGGAGGGUGGAAUACCCAGUGUAGAGGUGAAAUUCGUAGAUAUUGGGUGGAACACCGGUGGCGAAAGCGGCUCUCUGGUCCGGUCCUGACGCUGAGGCGCGAAAGCGUGGGGAGCAAACAGG